rnacentral:rRNA from 1 species
AUGCCGACGACGUGCUCAUCAACUCAUUCAAUUCCAUCGAGCCAAAGGUCCAACGAGGCACACAAGCUAUCUGAGGAACUCAUGUCGAAAUGUGAGAAGAAUGGAUUGAUUGUUUCUUGGUGCCCCCAACUUGAGGUUCUAGCACACAAGGCCAUUAGAUAUUUCGUUACUCGUUGUGGCUGGAACUCGACGCUGGAGGCGGUUGUUUGUGGUGUACCACUUGUCGGAAUUCCACACUGGGCGGACCAACCCACCAUCGCAAAGUAUGUGGAGAGCGCAUGGGGUAUGGGUGCGCGAGUGCAGAAGAGCGAAAGUAGAUCACUAAGGAGUGCGGAGGUCGAGAGGUGUAUUAGAGAGGUCAUGGAUGGGGAGAGGAAGGACGACUACAAAAGGAAUGCAAUGAAGUUGAUGCAAAAGGCCAAGGAGGCAAUGCAAGAAGGGCAAAAGGAUGAUGAAUGGCCAAAUAGCUCCGACAGUCCAGUAGUGUUGGGGGCGGUCCAAAAGGAUAAUAUCGGCGAAAAAACACCAAACAAGUGGAAACAAACAAAGGAACAAGUUUGUGCCCUCCUCCGUGCCUGGGCUGGCCCAUCCGACGCUCCCAUGACAAGAGGCUUCCUUAUGUCCACUGAGAGCUCCACAUUGGCGCCUUCAGCGCCCCGUAAACUUGUUGGUGAUCACAUGCGCACCUAA